CCCUUUGGGUGUGACUGCGUACCUUUUGUAUAAUGGGUCAGCGACUUAUAUUCUGUAGCAAGGUUAACCGAAUAGGGGAGCCGGAGGGAAACCGAGUCUUAACCGGGCGUUAAGUUGCAGGGUAUAGACCCGAAACCCGGUGAUCUAGCCAUGGGCAGGUUGAAGGUUGGGUAACACUAACUGGAGGACCGAACCGACUAAUGUUGAAAAAUUAGCGGAUGACCUGUGGCUGGGGGUGAAAGGCCAAUCAAACCGGGAGAUAGCUGGUUCUCCCCGAAAGCUAUUUAGGUAGCGCCUCGUGAAUUCAUCUCCGGGGGUAGAGCACUGUUUCGGCUAGGGGGCCAUCCCGGCUUACCAACCCGAUGCAAACUGCGAAUACCGGAGAAUGUUAUCACGGGAGACACACGGCGGGUGCUAACGUCCGUCGUGAAGAGGGAAACAACCCAGACCGCCAGCUAAGGUCCCAAAGUCAUGGUUAAGUGGGAAACGAUGUGGGAAGGCCCAGACAGCCAGGAUGUUGGCUUAGAAGCAGCCAUCAUUUAAAGAAAGCGUAAUAGCUCACUGGUCGAGUCGGCCUGCGCGGAAGAUGUAACGGGGCUAAACCAUGCACCGAAGCUGCGGCAGCGACACUGUGUGUUGUUGGGUAGGGGAGCGUUCUGUAAGCCUGUGAAGGUGUGUCGUGAGGCAUGCUGGAGGUAUCAGAAGUGCGAAUGCUGACAUAAGUAACGAUAAAGCGGGUGAAAAGCCCGCUCGCCGGAAGACCAAGGGUUCCUGUCCAACGUUAAUCGGGGCAGGGUGAGUCGACCCCUAAGGCGAGGCCGAAAGGCGUAGUCGAUGGGAAACGGGUUAAUAUUCCCGUACUUGGUGUUACUGCGAAGGGG
rnacentral:rRNA from 1 species